UACGUAGGGGGCAAGCGUUGUCCGGAAUCAUUGGGCGUAAAGCGCGUGUAGGCGGCUGGGUAAGUCCGCUCUGAAAGCCCGGGGCUCAACCCCGGGAGGCGGGUGGAUACUGCUCAGCUCGAGUCCGGAAGAGGAGUGUGGAAUUCCACGUGUAGCAGUGAAAUGCGUAGAGAUGUGGAGGAAUACCGAUGGCGAAGGCAGCCCCCUGGGCCAAUACUGACGCUCAUGCACGAAAGCGUGGGGAGCAAACAGG
rnacentral:rRNA from 1 species